AUUCAAAAAGCUGCGACUGCCCGCAGUGAGCUAGAAGGACGCAAAGGCACAAUCUCCCAGUAUUUCACAACCUUACACUGUCCCGUGUGCGAUGAACUGACCCAGUAUGGGAUCUGCAAUAAAUGCAGAAGCCAGCCACAGCACGUGGCAGUGAUUCUCAACCAAGAAAUCCGAGAGCUGGAGCGUAAGCAGGAGCAGCUGGCCAAGAUAUGCAAGAACUGCACAGGCUGCUUCGAUCGGCAGAUCCCGUGUGUCUCCCUCAACUGCCCCGUGUUGUUCAAGCUGUCCAGAGUCGGCAGGGAACUGUCCAAGGCCCCCUAUCUGCGCCAGCUGCUCGACCAGUUCUGACAGCUCUGUGUGACAGGAUUCCAGGUGCUAUUUUUGUUUUUCAGUGUUUACCACACUAAGACUAUUGUGCAUGGUGCUUUUCCAAUUCUCAUCUAGUCCAGGAUUUCCAUUUUAACUGUCGGGUUUAUUAUCUGAAGAAUAAUGAACAUUUAUCCUAACUAAAUUAAAAAACAACAAAAAGCAAACGUUUGUUGAUCUAUGAAUAGCUCACUUUUUAAGAUGUACAAAUUUCUGCUUUCUUUCAUGUUUCUAACAUACUGUUUUAUAAUGCUGAUGUUGAAAUAGCUCUGUGUAACAUCUUGUAAAUCCAUUUCAAAGUAGAAGUCAAGUUUACUUCCUGGAGGAAGGAGCACUGAAAACCUCUUGAACCGAUAAAACCAUUCGUGUGUGUUCUUGAACUGUCAGUAUCAAGACGUGUUACUUAUAUAUUAUCCAUUCACUUUAUAAUUUUGUCUGAAAUUUUGUAAAUACACUUUUUUACUUUUCAAACAACUGAGUAAAAUAAUGUGCAAUGACUUUUAUACAGAUAAUUUUAAAGUUGGUUGGUAUAUCUCCUCCUAAGUUUUGCUCGAUUCCAAGUAGAUGGUUAUUUUGAUCAGACUGUGCAAGCAGUAGUAUCAUGUGUAGCAUUUUGAAACAUUAUUUUCUAAAAAUUGCUGUCUUGCUUUAGCUAUUAAUGGGGCAUUGUGAGGAACUGUGCAAAGACAUUUUUGUUACAAACCUGUGGGACUGUUGCAAUAUUUUAAAUAUAAAAUUUUAUUCCAUUUUUGCUUGUUUUGUAUAGACAUUUCUAUUGCUUCUAAAUAUGCUUAAAAUAUUUUCUUUCCUUAUGUAUUGUACAGUUAAAUCUUAUUUGCCACCAUCUUGACAAAAUGUGUAUUUAGACUAUUUGUAUAACUGUAUAAAAUGGAAAAGGAAUUAUGUGGUCAGUGCAUUGUUUUCUAAACUGGAAAUCAUUUUGUUUUAGAAGUUAAUAAUGGAAACCACAUUAAAGUUGAAUAAAAUGAUACGGUAAAAA